rnacentral:lncRNA from 1 species
AUUUUACACAUAUUUAACUUGAUUUAAUUUAGAUUUUUUUCAAAGGAUUUUUUAAAUCCAAAGCUUACUGAAGUAACAUAAUGUUUGUUAUUAUAAUUGGUCACAUGGUCAGGUAUGUUACAUGCAUCUUGAAUGAAUAUACAAAUAUUGAUAACAAUUAUGAUAGUAAUUCAGGUGUCAGGUCUUUUCUCUUCUGUUAAUAAUAUUGGGAAACAAAUAAUAAUCAAUGUUAAAAGGUGCUUUCUGUAGAUAUAAGUAGAAAUCAAAAGUGUACAUAGUAAUGCUGAGAAUAAACAGCAUUUGAGUUUGACCUUUGGAAUAAGAAAUGAGAUUUUAAAGGCUUUUAGAAGAUACUAAAUUUCAUGUCAAAAAUUAUUCCAUACAGUUCACUUGAUAAAUUCAGACAAUGAUUAAUGUAAGAUGCAUAUACUCCCACAUUUUUUAUCAGCUGUAGAUUUCUUUGUAUUUAAGUUGACAGUAGAAAUUCUUUUAAGACAUAAAUGACAGAUAUGCUAUAAUACUGAGGGUUAUCUUUCCUUGAUCAUUGAGUAAAAUAAUGUUCACUUUCUAAAGAACCUUUUCCAUGUUUUUUUUUUAUUAAAGCUGUAUUCAUAGAUGGAUCUAUUUUUAACUAAGAACUGAGGAUACUAUUAUUUACAUUGGUACCAAUUCUGUGAAUUGAUGAAAACCUGCAAUUUCGUGGAUAUUAAUUUCAUGGUUUUGCCAAAUUAUGCAUAUAACUCUAUAGAAAAUUUGCAGUUUGUUAAACAUUUGAAUUCGUGGUUCACCUGUUACCACAAAAACCUUGAAAACUGGUACCCAACAAAUAAUAAUGAAGCCACAGUAGUACAAAUAUAGACAUUUUUGACUUAAAUGUAAUUAAUGAUUUGAUGAUGUACUUUAAACUUGUGAUUGUGGUCGGUGUCUACCAUAGAUGAUGUAUUAUUGACAUUAAAUUUGUUAGCCUUGAUAAUGAUAUACUAAAUUAGGGAAAACAUGCAAUAUAUAUGAAGUUUUGCAAUGGUUUUUAGGGUCAUUUGUGCAAUUAUAUAUCUUAGUUGUAACAUUUCAUAUUUUUGUUCAUUGUUUUAUUUCAUGGUUUUUAAAAAGAAAAUAUAUCAUUUCAUAAAUGUGAUUAUAUUUGACAAUUUAUUAUGAAUAGGGUAAAAUCUUCAAUGAUAGCUACCAUGGCAACCAAAUAUUAUUUUGGAGUAAAUUUUUUUUUUUAUGAACUGUUGCAAUAUAUUACCAUUUUCUGAAAGUUUGGUAAAAAUCUGAAUCCACCCAUUUCCAAAUUUUUUUAUAUCCUUUGAUAUUUACAGAGAGUGAUUCUUAAAUGGCAGUUAGAACCAUUGGAAGUUUCUUUUAUUUUAUUCAAAGUUAUCUUCUGCUAAUCAUAUUUGUGUGAUCUUAUUGUUAAUCAUAAUCAUUAUGCUAUUGUUAUUGGUACAAACAAACCAAGAAAAAAAUAUACACUUAUAAAUAUUUUAAACUAUUUAUUAAUUUCAUCUAUCAGCAGUUUUACUAGGAUUUUUUGUUCCCAUUUUUUAUUAACUGAGACCAUUACUCCCACCUUUCAGUAAUAACUAUAUGAUAUCUUAGAUUGUAAAAGAAUUUACAAUCUUAUCUUUUUUGUUGCUGCACACAAGUUAAAUUUAUAGUUGUCCUAAAAAAAACAGUAUGACUUGCACACAUGUUCCUCCAAGACUCAUUAUCCAUUUAGUUUUGAGUCGUAACAUAAUUAAACAUUUUAUUAUAAGUAAUAUAUGAAAAAAAAUUAAAAACAAAUGUUUAUUUUAUCAAACAUGUGAUUAGUGUAACUAAGGUAAAAUCGGUGUUAUUAUUUGGUUUUCACUUGAUCAUGUGACUUGUGAAAAUAAUUAUGGUGAAAUGGGUGCUAAAAUUUUCAAUUUCAAUGUACCAUCUAUUUUUUUUUUUAUUCAUCAUUAGAUCUCAUUUGACUCCAAGUUAUAUAAGUAUGAUCGGACAUUCCUCUGCAGUAUCCAUUAUCAUGUGAUUAUGUUUUAAAUUUUAUACAUGCUUUUCAUACAAAUAUAAUUAUUCAUUAAAUGCAAUAUAG